rnacentral:misc_RNA from 1 species
CCUGUUCGAGCGUCAUUAUAACCACUCAAGCCUAGCUUGGUAUUGGGGUUCGCGUGUUCGCGGCCCUUAAAAUCAGUGGCGGUGCGUCUGGCUCUAAGCGUAGUAAAUCUCUCGCUACAGAGUUCCGGCGGUUACUUGCCAAAAUCCCCCCCACUUUUAAGGUUGACCUCGGAUCAGGUAGGGAUACCCGCUGAACUUAA